rnacentral:tRNA from 1 species
GGGGUGUAGUUCAGUGGUAGAAUACUUGGUUGGAACCCGUGAGGCCCUGGGUUCAAUUCCCCAGUACCAUCA